rnacentral:rRNA from 1 species
CCUACGGGAGGCAGCAGUAGGGAAUCUUCCACAAUGGGCGCAAGCCUGAUGGAGCAACACCGCGUGAGUGAAGAAGGGUUUCGGCUCGUAAAGCUCUGUUGUUGGAGAAGAACGUGCGUGAGAGUAACUGUUCACGCAGUGACGGUAUCCAACCAGAAAGUCACGGCUAACUACGUGCCAGCAGCCGCGGUAAUACGUAGGUGGCAAGCGUUAUCCGGAUUUAUUGGGCGUAAAGCGAGCGCAGGCGGUUGCUUAGGUCUGAUGUGAAAGCCUUCGGCUUAACCGAAGAAGUGCAUCGGAAACCGGGCGACUUGAGUGCAGAAGAGGACAGUGGAACUCCAUGUGUAGCGGUGGAAUGCGUAGAUAUAUGGAAGAACACCAGUGGCGAAGGCGGCUGUCUGGUCUGCAACUGACGCUGAGGCUCGAAAGCAUGGGUAGCGAACAGGAUUAGAUACCCCAGUAGUC